UACGUAGGGGGCAAGCGUUGUCCGGAUUUAUUGGGCGUAAAGAGCGUGUAGGCGGCUAGGUAGGUCCGUUGUGAAAACUCGAGGCUCAACCUCGAGACGCCGAUGGAAACCAUCUGGCUAGAGUCCGGAAGAGGAGAGUGGAAUUCCUGGUGUAGCGGUGAAAUGCGCAGAUAUCAGGAAGAACACCCGUGGCUAAGGCGGCUCUCUAGUACGGUACUGACGCUGAGGCGCGAAAGCGUGGGGAGCGAACAGG
rnacentral:rRNA from 1 species